rnacentral:lncRNA from 1 species
ACACUAUUACACUUAUUUAUAAAAAUUUUAUAUUGAAAACCUGCAAAGUCAUAUGCAGUAUCACCCAACUAUGCAUCUAUAAUGUGAUUCCAAGGCAGCACGUAUGUGCACUACAACAACAUGUGUAAUUAUUCAUAAGGUUUCAAAGAUAUCGUUAAAAAUUUUGUAAUAAAAGAACCAUCUAACUAGAGCAAGGAAUUUUAAGUAUCUCUGAUUUUCAUUUAGAAAAGUAAAAUUAUCCAUUAUGCUAAAUCUUUGUUAUUUUCUAUUCCUUUUCCAAAUCCAUUAGCUAGUUUGAGUUUGUCAUUUUAUUGUUUCUGAGUUUUUUUUUUUUUUUUUUUUUUUUUUUUUUUUGCUGUGGGGGCAAUUAAAAGAUCAAUGUGUAGUAAGAUUUACUUGGAAGCACAAAAUAUUAAUGAAAAGGAGAGGGGUUGUAUUACGCUAGUGAACUUUUAAGAUGUCUUUGUUUCAGAAAAUCAGAGCUGACUUUAUGGAUGUUGUUAUAAAUGGGGAUUAUUAUAAUAAUUUUAAAGUUUACAUGCAGUAAAAACUGCAUAAAAUAUCAAUAGUAUUCUCUUUGGAGCAUACUUCAAAUACACGAUACAAAGCACUUAUUCUGAGGUCUAAUGAUGUUACUUAUUAGCUGGGACAAAUUGGAAGUCAGCUUGUCAGUAUUUCUGAUACCCUCUGCAAUAUAAGGACAGGAGAGGAACAGUUUAAUCAAGUGUGACAGUGGCAUCAUUAAAAGUGCCAAGCUGUGUCACAAAGGGAUUGCUGAAGCAGUGUUCUCUAGAAACUCCAUGAAAUAGCUAAAACAAAACUUAGAAUUCUGAGGAAAAAAAUUUUCAUUGAAAUUGACAACAAUAAAUAUUAAAAUUAAGGCCUCAGGGUAGCCUCAAGAAGAAAGUGGACAGAAAUUAAAGGAAGAAGAAAAUGAAUAAAAGACAACAUCAAAUAAAAUAAGAUGCCUAUGCAUAGAGAUAAAUUAAUUUGUUUAUUAAUUUCACAAAGUUACAUCUAUAGAGAAUCUAUACAGGAAAAAAGCUGGUACAUUUUUAAGAGGAAGGCCAAAAACUGUCACAUGAGGGUAGGUUAUAUUGAUACCAUGCUCAGUUACAACAUAUUUUUCAAAGUUCCAUAAAGAUGGUUCAUGGUGAAUUGCUCUAAUCAAGAACUGCAAAAUGAGAAUAUUAAAACAAAUUGAGACUCAUUCUGUCAUAUGCAUAUAAAGAAAAGAAAAAAUAUAAUCUAUCUGACUAUUGUAUGCCUAUAAAGAUAGAAGGGAAUUGUGGACCCCAAAAUAAGUGACAUGUUACUCUAAAAUUUCUAAAAGUAUAGGCCUGCUCAUUUCAAACAUAUUCAAGAGUGACUCAGCAUAAAUAACAUGCUGGGGAAGAUGAUCUGGGACACAAUAAACAAUGCAAAUAAAAUGCUUUCCUGAGUCCAUAUUAAAAUAUGUAACGUGAGUUGAUAAAAUAAAAUAUAACCCCCUUGUUCAAUCUAGCUAUUAAGUUGAGGUUAGCAUAUGUAAUACAUUUAAGUAACAAGUCACAUUUUCCCAUCUUUUUUUCAAACUACAACUUGGAUGUGAAUAGAAAACGUAUUUUUCCCCCAUAACUAGUUUUUCUUUCUUCCUGAGCACACAAUCACUAGUUAUUAGGAAAGUAGGGGUAAUAACCAAAAACUGUUUCUGAAUCUAUUUAAAGAUUAUCAUAUUGUAUGUAUUUUAUUAUAUAUUACAUAGUACAAUAUGUGUGUAAUACAUAUGUAGUAUAGGCAUCACAUACACAUUAUAUAUAUGUGCGUGUGUGUAUAUAUAUAUAUACUAUAUUGCCUCUCAUCUCCAAAUCUACCAUUCAUUGUCUUCUUUAUGCAAAUGAUGCUAGACUCUGUAAAGACAUCUUCACCAGAUGACAUAAUGUUAAGCUUUGACAAUAGAUGGCUCUGUAUGGACUCUAGAGAAGUAAAGGGCUUCUCUUCCUUGGUUUGAGUGUGCCCCUCCUGCCAGGCUUCUGCAGUGUACACCACAGUUACUGUAGAAGAAGUUGGUUCUUUCAGCGUGGGUGACUUCUCCAGGAACAAAUUCUUGCAAUACACACAACUUCUGCUGCAUGUACAGCUUUUCCAGCACCUGGCUCUUAGACCAGGAGCACAUUUCUAGCAAGUUCUGCCUAAUGCACAUUAGCAGCUUUUCCACAUCCAGUAAACCACAGCUUUGUCCUCCCUAAUGAUAGAUCUCAGCCCUGAAGGAGAGAUUCUCUACUGGAUGGGGAUGCUCAUUUUUAUAACAAGAACAUGAAUCUUUUUCCACCCUUUUGCCAUUUGCUCAUAGCUGGAGUCACAUCUCAACAUUCACCAGAGAUAGUAGUAUACACGAUGACCCAGGGAGAAAAAAACUUCUGCAGCAAAAUAAUCACAAGACUUUGCUUACAUAUAUCAGCAGAAAGCUGGAAAACCUGUGUGAGAGUGGAUUCUAAGGAUCAGACAGGAUAGGAUAUAACACUAAAUUGGGUUUUAUUCAUUUUUACGGGUGUACCUAAUUUAGCUCUUACAGCUGGAGAUGACUGGAACAGCUAGAAAUAGCUCUGUAAUUGGCAGAUUAAAUGAAACUUGAUUUAGUGGUGACCUAUAUUUAAUGAGGCUGAGAUCCCAGAGUUCCAUAGCAUAAUAUGGAGCAAGGAAUUAGAAAGCUUGGGGAUAUAGGGAAGUUUUAUUGGAUUUAUCAUGUGUGCUUUGUAUACCCAGACCCCAGGUGAAUUCCAUGUAGCCCAGAUAUAACCAUAGGGAAUGCUGUCAUUGAGAUGCACUUCCUGAUUUCAGUGGCGAUUAUGGGAUCUUAAAAUAUUGGAGGUCAAAUGGCAACACUUAACAUCAAAGGCAAUGUGGGCACAUCUACUGUAAAGAGAAGCAGGGCUAUAUCAGAUAACAGGAACAUUCCUAAACUGCUUCAGAUGAACUAGAUUUGUUAACAAGUGUUCUAAAUGGCAAAAUACAAAGUACAUCAAUGCUUUUCCAAAAAUUAUUGUUAUCUAUGUGUGUGAGUGCAUGUGUGCACGUUUGUGUGUGUGUGUGUGUGUUGCACAAAUGUUUGGUCAAAAAGGAAUCACAGCCUUGCAGAAAUAGAGGGUGUAAACAUUUGGGGAGCUGACAAUAAAAACUGCUAAAAAUAGUUUUCACACAUAUUUGGGAGGAGAGAAAAUCUUACGUGGGAUUCUCUCAUGGUUUUGUGAUAGCCUGCUCUAUCUCUUAUAAGUCUUUCCAUGUUUGUUAUUUAAAUCGCAGCAAGAUGGUCAAGAAAGACAGUAUUUUCCCAUUCAUAUCUAGGACAGUAUAUCACCAGAGCUCCUGAUAUCAUAUUAUCUUAACUCAUAUUUUAAUACAGAGUUUGAGGAUUUUCCAUCUCUAAAAAAAUAAGGAAAAUUAUUUUAAUAUAGCAGGCAUAAGGCUAAACUUAAUAACACUAAUAUUUGGGGUUAAUAGAAGAUAAAAGAAAGAUAAAUACAAAGACAAAGAGAAAGACAGAAAGAGGAGAUGUAAUUCUCAUUAUGCCACACAACCCCAGGCAAGUUCUCUUUUUUCUUUUUUUUUUUAAGAAUUAUACGUGAAUGAAAAACUGUAGUGAAAAUAGUAACACUUUCCUCUAGCAAUGUGUAGCUGUAGCGUAAAUGUGUGAAGUGUAUCAUAAAAUCCAACUCUACUUGUCACAAUACAGAUACAGAGAUUCAAGGAGCACCCUCUCAUCUGGUAGAUAAUGAUAGGUCUCUCUAUUUAUAUAUUUUUUCUUUUGUUGUAAUAGAAAAAAGUAUUUACUGUUGCACAUCUGAAAAUACAAUAUCAUAUAUUUGAUCAUUAUUAUAGCUUUGGGACAUUGGCUGGUGUCAAAGAAAAAUCAGAGGCACAAUAAAAUUUUAGAGAGUUUGAGUAAGAAGCAACCAAUUAGCGUUCCAAUGACAAAAUGUCAGAGGCAAUAUUUAUUGGAAAAAUGCAAAAGCACAGUAAGUAAAUUAUUUGAAUGGUUUGCAAUUACAAAAUGGCUUCAUUUUAGUCCACCUUGGUGGAAAGUCUCUAAUCACAUAAUCAUAUGUUCAUUGGCUGCUUAUGAUUGGUUGAGGUUAAAUUUUAGUUCUGUUUAACAUAAGCAUUUAUCGGCAAUGACCCAAGUUAAGUUUUACUUAUGUUUGCUUUAAGGCUUUCUUUUC